GCUGUUGAGCUGUAUAUUUAAAUAUUUCCGUGUUCAAUAUGAACGAAUAAAUAAACAAUAAUAUUACAGGCGGGUACAUAAAAUCGGCGACGAACCAUCCGUUGGGUAUCAAUCUCUUAAUGACAGUCUCGGUGAAUUAGAAAUAAAAAAAAAAAAACGACGAGAAUCGAUUUGCGAAUAUCAAUAAUAUUACGUGAUAAUACGGCAACGUACGAUAAUAAUAUAUACAAGUUUGUACAAAAUUUCCAGCGCGUGGCCCGCUAUGGCAGUUUUGUAUCGUCGGCCAGAAAUUAAGCAAAAAUAUUACGUGCGAGUUUUUCGGUGUAGGUAACGAUCAGAAAAAAAUUAAAAAUAGUGAUAUAUAACAACCAGUAUAGGUCGUAGACAAUAUUAAUACAUCAUCGACUGCGUAUCUCUCACACCCCUGCCUUUUGGGUUACCUAUAGUAUACCAACAUCGCUAGAAAGAGUUAACCAGUGGCGACUUGAGAACCUUGUUUGAGGUGAGACGGAAUUUUAAAAAAUGUAUGAAAGGAAUGGGUUUUAUACCAGUGGCGUAAUUAAAACCAAUUGGUGGGGA